UACGUAGGGGGCAAGCGUUGGUCCGGAUUUAUUGGGCGUAAAGAGCGUGUAGGCGGCCAGGUAGGUGGGUUGUGAAAACUGGAGGCUCAACCUUCAGACGUCGACCCAAACCCCCUGGCUAGCAGUCCGGAAGAGGCGAGUGGAAUUCCUGGUGUAGCGGUGAAAUGCGCAGAUAUCAGGAGGAACACCAAUGGCGAAGGCAGCUCGCUGGGACGGUACUGACACUGAGACGCGAAAGCGUGGGGAGCAAACAGG
rnacentral:rRNA from 1 species